rnacentral:rRNA from 1 species
GCAGUCGACGAUGAACCACUUCGGUGGGGAUUAGUGGCGAACGGGUGAGUAACACGUGGGCAAUCUGCCCUGCACUCUGGGACAAGCCCUGGAAACGGGGUCUAAUACCGGAUACUGAUCCUCGCAGGCAUCUGCGAGGUUCGAAAGCUCCGGCGGUGCAGGAUGAGCCCGCGGCCUAUCAGCUAGUUGGUGAGGUAACGGCUCACCAAGGCGACGACGGGUAGCCGGCCUGAGAGGGCGACCGGCCACACUGGGACUGAGACACGGCCCAGACUCCUACGGGAGGCAGCAGUGGGGAAUAUUGCACAAUGGGCGAAAGCCUGAUGCAGCGACGCCGCGUGAGGGAUGACGGCCUUCGGGUUGUAAACCUCUUUCAGCAGGGAAGAAGCGAAAGUGACGGUACCUGCAGAAGAAGCGCCGGCUAACUACGUGCCAGCAGCCGCGGUAAUACGUAGGGCGCAAGCGUUGUCCGGAAUUAUUGGGCGUAAAGAGCUCGUAGGCGGCUUGUCACGUCGGUUGUGAAAGCCCGGGGCUUAACCCCGGGUCUGCAGUCGAUACGGGCAGGCUAGAGUUCGGUAGGGGAGAUCGGAAUUCCUGGUGUAGCGGUGAAAUGCGCAGAUAUCAGGAGGAACACCGGUGGCGAAGGCGGAUCUCUGGGCCGAUACUGACGCUGAGGAGCGA